rnacentral:lncRNA from 1 species
AUGGCGGCUCUUACAAGUUAAUUGGGUUCAUUACAGCAGGAAAGGAAUCCGAAAGAGAGAUUGGGACAAAAAUACCUCCACCAAAAUGUUAUAGUGCAUUUAAAUUGGAAGGAGGAGCUCUUGCCUGUUCCCCAGACACUGAGGAGAAAGGAGACAGACAGUUGAGAAUUUCCUGGGCUCAUCCAUUUCUUUCCUUUUCACUCCACAUCUGUGGAAGGGACUGGCUACCGCAUCUUAACAUCUCAUUUGAAAGGAGAAAGAACUGUCGUUUAGAAUUGUGGUUGAUUCCAGCAACACUGACACAACCUUACUGUAUAUAAUAUAUAAUGAACAUAAUGAAUGGAAUCUCUGAAGACCCCCCCAAACAAGAUGCCUCAUUAAUAAUUGAAAUUUUGAAAUAAGAAAAUUAUGCCUGCACUGGGGCCACAACUUCCUCUUUUCUGUUUAUCUUCUCCGCAAAGACAUCAGUCUACUUGUCCCACAAGCAUUUGCAUCAUGAAAGUUGCUCUUUAAACAUAAUUCAAGUCCUGAAGAAUACUGGGAAGAACAGGUGAGAACUUUCAUCUAAACUGAAUUCCAUAAACAUCUUGGGGGACCAGCUUUGUUGAAAUGUCCAGGUCACUUUUUUCAUCUUAAAUGAGUAAAAGUGAAGAGGCAUUUUUAAGGACAACAUAAUGAUACAAUAGUGUUUUAGAAUUUUUAAAUUUAAUAGUAUUAGUAAUUCUGAUCACUCUAUGUGUUAGAAUAGAUACUGUUUUACCAAGGAGGGACAUGAUUAGGCAUAAUGAGCACCAUCGGCAGAACAGGGAAUAGGGUAAAGCGAGUGAGGUACCACAGUGCUUGUCCUGGUGAUUAAGAAGUGGGUGAAUGAGACAAGCUGGGUGGGAAUAGCCUUAUCCCCUAAACUUUUCAGGUAACUAUUGCCAAAUCCAGUUAACUGAAAAAUAUGAAGAUGGGAGACACAGGUUUUAGAGGGAAGAGUGGUGUGACCAAUUUAGAAAACAUUUUUUUUUCCUUCCUCUUUGUCUUUUUAGGGCCACACCUGUGGCAUAUGGAAGUUCCUAGGCUAAGGGUCUAAUCGGAGCUGUAGCUGCCGGCCUAUACCACAGCCACAGCAACUCGGGAUCUGAGCCGCAUCUGUGACCUACACCAUAGCCAACAGCAAUGCCAGAUCCUUAACCCACUGAGCGAGGCCAGGGAUUGAACCCGAGUCCUCACAGAUAUGAGUCGAGUUUGUUACCACUGAGCCACAAUGGGAACUCCUUAGAAAACAUUAUGUUUGGACUUGAUUGUAAGAGGCAACAUUGGGGAAGUCAGAUAAAAGAGAUGAAAAAGGGAUGAUUAAUUCCUGAAAAAUUUUCUGUCCUAUUUGAGGUCAUAAAUAUUUUCUUCUUGAAGGAAAAGACUAAUAAAAGUCAUUCUGCUAAAGAGUGUAAUUCA